GUGUGUGUGUGUGUGUGUGUGUGUGUGUGUAUAUAUAUAUAUAUAUAUAUAUACACCCACCCACACCCACACACCCAUAUAU
rnacentral:miRNA from 1 species